GAAGAAGUGUGCAGCGCAAGUAAAGUGGCCUAUGGGUUUGAGCCCGUUGCUUCUAAAGACAACAUUUUAAAAAAGACACAAAGGAAGGCUGGUAUCAGACUCCAAGCCUGGAGAAAAGAGAAGCAUCUGUAUUAAAAACUGACCGGACUCCACAAGGUACAGAUUGAUUUUUGACUUAUUCUUGAUUGUAGAAGUAAUCACAACUACCUUGUGUUAUCUUUGGAAAUUGAUCUGUUAUUGGUGGUUUGAAUAUACUUAUGUAUGCUUAGCUACUGUCGAGCAUAUGCAAAAAGCGUAAUUGCAAUCUUCAAUAUGGAACUUCCAAACAGUUUAUCAUUGGAGAAUGGUUCAUUUGAAUUUUGCAGCUAACAUUUGCUUCAUUCUUCAACAGCUCGGAAGUGAGUGUGAAACGCCCAUGACAGGGAAAAUUUCUGAAGGUCAUCAUGGAGCCCCUUCUGGCAAUCCCUGGGCGGUGUCAGGGUCCAGGGUGGCAUACUUCUUUUGUCCACAGGGAGCAACCGAGAGCAGAGUGGCAGAGUGCAGAGGGCCCAGAUUACCUCCACCGAUCACCGCCAAGAUCCACCCCGUUCUGGCUGAACUCCACACACUCCGCCAUUACUGCUCCCGCUCCGUGCUCCUGGCUCCGAUCAUCCCGCUCUACCUCCACCGCAGCUCCUCCAAUAAACACUCCUCACUCAUUCUGGACGCCUGAGUUGUUUUUUCUGCAUAUUGCAAAGCAGUCUUGUGUGAGGAGGCUGCUGAUUUGAAGACCUGCAUGUUUCCAAGACCAUGGACAGAGUCUACACAAAUGACAAUGACAACGUUCAAUAUGUGUGCUUGUGUGACUCGUGCAGAGGGCCCUCAGGAAGACUGCUCUGAUAGCGCUGGUCUACAAUGGGUGGUGCCUGAUGUCCAUCGAGUUCAUCUUUGUAGAAGCUGUUGGCGACACGCACAGAGGCCACGGAUGAUGAAACAAGGACCGCAAUGGCUUU